rnacentral:SRP_RNA from 10 species
GCUGGAUGUGGUGGUGCAUGCCUGUAGUCCCAGGUACUCAGGAAGCUGAGGCAAGAGGAUCGCUUGAGUCCAGGAGUUCUGGGCUGUAGUGCGCUAUGCAUUCUGGUAUCCACACUAAGUUCAACAUCAGUAUGGUGACCUCCGGGAGUGAAGGACCACCAGAUUGCCCUAAGGAGGGGUGAACCAGCCCAGGUCGGAAACAAAGCAUGUGAAAACUCUGGUGCUGAUCAGCAGUGGGAUCGCACCUGUGAAAAGCCACUGCACUUCAACCUGGACAACACAGUGAGAUCUCGCCU